rnacentral:rRNA from 1 species
CAGAGGAAGUUUUCGGAUGGAAUCGGCGUAACUUAGUGGCGGACGGGUGAGUAACGCGUGGGAAACCUGCCCUGUACCGGGGGAUAACACUUAGAAAUAGGUGCUAAUACCGCAUAAGCGCACAGCUUCACAUGAGGCAGUGUGAAAAACUCCGGUGGUACAGGAUGGUCCCGCGUCUGAUUAGCCAGUUGGCAGGGUAAUGGCCUACCAAAGCGACGAUCAGUAGCCGGCCUGAGAGGGUGAACGGCCACAUUGGGACUGAGACACGGCCCAAACUCCUACGGGAGGCAGCAGUGGGGAAUAUUGCACAAUGGGGGAAACCCCUGAUGCAGCGACGCCGCGUGAGUGAAGAAGUAUUUCGGUAUGUAAAGCUCUAUCAGCAGGGAAGAAAAUGACGGUACCUGACUAAGAAGCCCCGGCUAACUACGUGCCAGCAGCCGCGGUAAUACGUAGGGGGCAAGCGUUAUCCGGAUUUACUGGGUGUAAAGGGAGCGUAGACGGCAUGACAAGCCAGAUGUGAAAACCCAGGGCUCAACCCUGGGACUGCAUUUGGAACUGCCAGGCUGGAGUGCAGGAGAGGUAAGCGGAAUUCCUAGUGUAGCGGUGAAAUGCGUAGAUAUUAGGAGGACACCAGUGGCGAAGGCGGCUUACUGGACUGUAACUGACGUUGAGGC